rnacentral:rRNA from 1 species
AGUACCGUGAGGGAAAGGUGAAAAGUACCCCGGCGAGGGGAGUGAAAUAGUACCUGAAACCAAUAGCUUACAAGCAGUAGGAGGAAAAUUUAUUUUCUGACUGCCUGCCUUUUGAAGAAUGAGCCAACGAGUUAUCCGUAUGUAGCAAGGUUAAGGAGUAAUUCCGUAUCCGCAGCGAAAGCGAGUUUUAAUAGAGCGUCUAGUUGCAUGCGAUAGACCCGAAGCCAAGUGAUCUAUCCAUGGGCAGGGUGAAGCGAAGGUAAGACUUCGUGAAGGCCCGAACCCACUGAUGUUGCAAAAUCAGGGGAUGACCUGUGGAUAGGGGUGAAAGGCCAAUCAAACUUGGUGAUAGCUGGUUCUCUCCGAAAUGUCUUUAGGGACAGCGUUAUAUGUUGCGCUUUGGAGGUAGAGCACUGAUUGGGCUAGGGGGCCAACAAGCUUACUGAACUCAGUCAAACUCCGAAUGCCAAAGUGUAUAAAUAUAGCAGUGAGCCUAUGGGGGAUAAGCUCCAUAGACGAGAGGGAAACAACCCAGAUCAUCAGCUAAGGCCCCUAAAUGUAUAUUAAGUGUGAAACGAUGUGAGAGUGUUCAGACAGCCAGGAGGUUGGCUUAGAAGCAGCCAUUCCUUUAAAGAGUGCGUAACAGCUCACUGGUCGAAUGUUCUCGCGCGGAAGAUGUAACGGGGCUAAAUAUACUGCCGAAGCUAUGGGAUUUUAUUAAUUCUGAUUUCGAUCCAGAAGAUAAAAUCGGUAGGAGAGCGUUGUAUGGACAGCGAAGCGACAACGUGAGUUAGUCGUGGAGACCAUACAAGUGAGAAUGUUGGCAUGAGUAGCGAAGGAAGAGUGAGAAUCUCUUCCGCCGAAUGUCCAAGGGUUCCUGGGGAAGGUUCGUCCGCCCAGGGUUAGUCGGGACCUAAGGCGAGGUCGAGAGACGUAGUCGAUGGAUAACAGAUUGAUAUUUCUGUACCACUAAUUAAGCGCCCAAACCGAAUAUAUGUUGCUAAGGAAAGCCCUUCGGGGCCUACCGACCCACAUAUUACUAGGUUAGCAAUGGAGCGACGGAGAAGGAUAGAUGAGCCCAGGUGAUGGUUAUCCUGGGGUAAAUGUGUAGGAAGACUGAUAGGUAAAUCCGUUAGUCACAUAUUCUGAGACAUGAUGCCGAGCCGCUUUUAGGCGAAGUCAUUGAUUCCAUACUUCCAAGAAAAACUUCUAGUUAGUUUUUUUAGUGCCCGUACCCCAAACCGACACAGGUGGACAAGUAGAGAAUACUAAGGCGAGCGAGAUAACUCUGGUUAAGGAACUCGGCAAAAUAGUUCCGUAACUUCGGGAGAAGGAACGCCCAAGUAAAGUGAUUAAUUAACUUUAUGAGCUUGAACGGGCCGCAGUGAUCAGACUCAAGCGACUGUUUAUCAAAAACACAGGAGGGUGCAAAGUUCUAAUACAACGUAUACCCUCUGACACCUGCCCGGUGCUGGAAGGUUAAGUGGAGAGGUUAGCUUCGGCGAAGCUUUGAAAUUAAGCCCCAGUAAACGGCGGCCGUAACUAUAACGGUCCUAAGGUAGCGAAAUUCCUUGUCGGGUAAGUUCCGACCUGCACGAAUGGUGUAACGAUUUGAGUACUGUCUCAACCAGAGACUCGGCGAAAUUGCAAUGUGAGUAAAGAUGCUCACUAUGCGCGACAGGACGGAAAGACCCCGGAACCUUUACUGCAACUUGAUAUUGAA